AUUGAACGCUGGCGGCAGGCCUAACACAUGCAAGUCGAACGAGUGGCGGACGGGUGAGUAAUGUCUGGGAACCUGCCUGAUGGAGGGGGAUAACUACUGGAAACGUUAGCUAAUACCGCAUACCAUCAGAUCUGCCCAGAUGGGAUUAGCUAGGUGGUGGGGUAACGGCUCACCAAGGCGACCAUCCCUAGCUGGUCUGAGAGGAUGACCAGCCACACUGGAACUGAGACACGGUCCAGACUCCAACGGGAGGCAGCAGUGGGGAAUAUUGCACAAUGGGCGAAAGGCUGAUGCAGCAAUGCCGAGUGUAUGAAGAAGGCCUUCGGGUUGUAAAGUACUUUCAGCGGGGAGGCGUUACCCACAGAAGAAGCACCGGCUAACUCCGUGCCAGCAGCCGCGGUAAUUC
rnacentral:rRNA from 1 species